GUGCCCAGCCCCUGCUAACUGUUUUGUAGGGGAACUUUAGGAACCCCGUGAGGCCUUCAUUUUCCUAUUAGAAGCAUUUCCAUUGCCCUCUUGCCAUGAGUUCCUGGAGAUCAUGCUUUCUCUGUCUCAGGACGUGGGAUCCAGUUGGAGGACGGUGGUGAUGGCAGGGAAGAUGCCCCGGUGAGAAUGGAGUGGUACCGAGUGCUCUCGGCGCGAUGCCAGGGGCCUGGCCACCCACUCCCAGGUCAGAGGCCAGCCCCAGUCAGGGGCUUGGUCAGGCCUGAGCAGCCAAGAGGUGGCCCCCCACCAGGAAGACGGGCUUCCCAUGGGGCUGACAAGCCGUACACCUGCCCCGAAUGUGGCAAAGGCUUCAGCAAGACAUCCCACUUGACCAAGCACCAGCGCACACACACGGGCGAGCGGCCUUACAAGUGCCUGGUCUGCGGGAAGGGCUUUAGCGACCGCUCCAACUUCAGCACGCACCAGAGGGUGCACACGGGUGAGAAGCCCUACCCGUGCCCUGAGUGUGGGAAGCGCUUCAGCCAGAGCUCCAGCCUGGUCAUCCACCGCAGGACGCACAGCGGGGAGCGGCCCUAUGCCUGCACCCAGUGCGGGAAGCGCUUCAACAACAGCUCGCACUUCAGCGCCCACCGCCGGACACACACAGGUGAGAAGCCCUACACCUGCCCGGCCUGUGGCAGGGGCUUCCGCCGGGGCACCGACCUGCACAAGCACCAGCGGACCCAUAUGGGGGCAGGCUCCUUGCCGACGCUCCAGCCGGUGGCUCCUGGAGGCCCCGGUGCCAAAGUCUGAUCACCAUGCCUGAAACUCCCUUUCCAGGACUCUCAUCCCUGGGCACAGAAUUCAGGAAGCUGCUAGACAGCCUGGUCCGAAAGCAUUGCCAGCUGCCUGUUUCCUCCCGUGGCCCAGUAUGAGGCCAGCAGGGGACAUUUGGGAUGCCCAGGCCGCAGAGGAAGCUGGGCACUGGGUGCAGAGCAAGGGCAAGGACAGGCUCUAGGAGUGUCCAGUGGCAGCCAGAACAGGUGACACAGACGGGAGCUUCAGCCAGAGACGCACUCAGGAGGCCAGAAGCCGACACUCAAGGUGUUCGUGGGGCUGGCUCCUGAAGGGCCUGGGAGGGUCCAUCAGCCGCCUCCAGCAUCCAGUGGCUGCUGGCAUACAGCCUCAUCACCGCGUCCUAACCCUCCCCUCUGUGUCUGUGACCCUGUGCGCUGUCUCUGUGUGAACCCCACACCUGCUGCCCCUUUUUUUUUUUUUUGAAACGGGGCCUUGCUCUGUCCCCCAGGCGGGAAUACAGUGCCAUGAUCAUAGCUCACUGCAGCCUAGAAUCCCUGGGUUCAAGCGUUCCUCCUGCCUCAGCCUCCCGAGUAGCUGGGGAUACAGGUGUGUGCCGGCAUGCCCAGUCUGUUUUUUGGUAGGGCCACCACUCACUGAGUUUGGGGUCUGCCAAUACACUGUGACCUCAUCUUAACUAAUUAUAUCGUCAAAACCCGUGUUUCCAAACAAGGUCACAUUCUGAGGUCUGGGUGGACAUGAAUUUGAGGGGCCCCUCAUCUGCUGCAGGGAGCCCUGCUGUACCCCAGCCUUCCCAGGACGUGGUCUCCAGCUUCUUCAUCCUGUCAGAGUUUCCAAAUGGAGCCCGGGGCUCUCCAGCAUUCCAGUCCCCUUUGCAGAUCCAUAGCUGCUCUGCAGGGUGGAAGACACCUGGGGCGGGAAAGCACCCCUGAGUUCCAUCUUCCUGACAUGUCGCCAGGGAUGUGACGGGCCUGACACCUCCCCAGGGCCGGGGCCCAGGGCUGCCUUUGCUCCUGGCCCCUUAGUGUCUGGGAUGUGGCCUUCCAUGUUUGCCCCACUUUGUCUUUCUAAGGUAAGAAGCCUUCACCUUCCAGCUUUUGUCCAGCCUGUGCUGCGUGGGAGCCACUGGUCUGUGCACAUCCACGGUGGGUGAGUGGCCGAGACAAGCAGUGUGAUAGAGUCCUUGGUGGGUUUAGUCAUCUCGGAAGUCAUAGGGCAACUGUGGAAACCACUGGGUUCUGGAACGUUCCAGCCAGGCAGUGGUUCCUCAUGGGUAGGUGGCCUUGGCCCUCAUCCCAGCCUGGGAUGCUCCGUUGCAUUUGUCACCUAGUCACUGUAUAUAUGUGCACAUUUGACCUUUUGGCACAGCCCAGGUUCCAGGUGCAUGACCUGCCCUUUUCUCAUUCCCUUAACUGACAUUAUUUAGUGUCAGAGGCCAGGCACAGUGGCUCCCACCUAUAACCCUAGCACUUUGGGAGGCCAAGGCGGGUGGAUUGCUUGAGCCCAGGAGUUCAAGAGCAGCCUGGGCAAUAUAGAAAGACCUCUUCUCUACCAAAAAAAAAAAAAAAAAAAA
rnacentral:sRNA from 1 species